rnacentral:sRNA from 1 species
CCUCCUGUUAAUAUGCAAUUAGGGUUUGGGCGGUAAGGUCUGGUUAUUCAGAGUUUUCUGGAUUUUGCAGAGUGGUUUCUCCCUCUGUUUGACGCCUCCCUGUUAACUUCGAGAGCCGUUUAUACGGCUCUUUUUUU